AUUGAACGCUGGCGGCAGGCUUAACACAUGCAAGUCGAGCGAGCGGCGGACGGGUGAGUAAUGUGUGGGAAACCGCCUGAUGGAGGGGGAAAACUACUGGAAACGGUAUCUAAUACCGUAAACCAUCAUAUGUGCCCAGAUGGGAUUGGCUAGUAGGUGGGGUAAUGGCUCACCUAGGCGACGAUCCCUAGCGGGUCUGAGAGGAUGACCAGCCACACUGGAACUGAGACACGGUCCAGACUCCUACGGGAGGAAGCAGUGGGGAAUAUUGCACAAUGGGCGCAAGCCUGAUGCAGCCAUGCCGCGUGUGUGAAGAAGGCCUUCGGGUUGUAAAGCACUUUCAGCGGGGAGGCGUUACUCGCAGAAGAAGCACCGGCUAACUCCGUGCCAGCAGCCGCGGUAAUUC
rnacentral:rRNA from 1 species